GAAACGCUGGCGGCGUGCUUACACAUGCAAGUCGAACGAUGAUGCCCAGCUUGCUGGGUGGAUUAGUGGCGAACGGGUGAGUAACACGUGAGUAACCUGCCCCUGACUCUGGGAUAAGCGUUGGAAACGACGUCUAAUACUGGAUAUGAUCACUGGCCGCAUGGUCUGGUGGUGGAAAGAUUUUUUGGUUGGGGAUGGACUCGCGGCCUAUCAGCUUGUUGGUGAGGUAAUGGCUCACCAAGGCGACGACGGGUAGCCGGCCUGAGAGGGUGACCGGCCACACUGGGACUGAGACACGGCCCAGACUCCUACGGGAGGCAGCAGUGGGGAAUAUUGCACAAUGGGCGAAAGCCUGAUGCAGCAACGCCGCGUGAGGGAUGACGGCCUUCGGGUUGUAAACCUCUUUUAGUAGGGAAGAAGCGAAAGUGACGGUACCUGCAGAAAAAGCACCGGCUAACUACGUGCCAGCAGCCGCGGUAAUACGUAGGGUGCAAGCGUUGUCCGGAAUUAUUGGGCGUAAAGAGCUCGUAGGCGGUUUGUCGCGUCUGCUGUGAAAUCCCGAGGCUCAACCUCGGGCUUGCAGUGGGUACGGGCAGACUACU
rnacentral:rRNA from 1 species